rnacentral:rRNA from 1 species
UACGGAGGGUGCAAGCGUUAAUCGGAAUUACUGGGCGUAAAGCGUGCGUAGGUGGUUCGUUAAGUCCGUUGUGAAAGCCCCGAGCUCAACUUGGGAAUUGCAGUGGAUACUGGCUAGCUAGAGUGUGUCAGAGGAUGGUGGAAUUCCCGGUGUAGCGGUGAAAUGCGUAGAGAUCGGGAGGAACAUCAGUGGCGAAGGCGGCCAUCUGGGACAACACUGACGCUGAAGCACGAAAGCGUGGGGAGCAAACAGG